AAGAAAGAAAGCCUCUGAACCAUUGGAAUUAGGGCAUCAAUAUCCUCCCAUCCGUGCCUUCUCCCCCAACGAGCAAAGAAGCCUGCACUGUCUCCGGCCGUAGCGACCCAUCCUUCUCACCGAUGAGCAAAGAAGCCUACAGAGUCGACCAUCUCCACGAGCCCACCCCGUGCAACAUGCAGCCUUCUCCUUAAGUAGUUGCGACCUAUCUCUCAAGCUAACCGGACCCAAGGGUUCCUCUCUUCGAUGGUCUUCUACCAGGCUCCAGUAUAGACAGCGGCGACCCAUCUCCUCGGGGCAACCCAUCCUGGACUAGAAUAUGGUGCAAACCAAUCCCCUCGCUAGCUCACCAAGCAGCCACGACGACACAUCUCCCUGCACGGCCAAACUUCGUUAUCCUGCUUGAUGGGUAGGCGUUGAUUAUCCUGCGAUUUUGGUAGUUCUUCUCACGCCUUCUUGUCCCCCACUACCUUUAUGCCUCCAAAGUGUUUGAGUAAACACUUCCUCCAUCUAAGUGCACCUACACAUCGCUAAACAAACUGCAUUUUGUUGCGAGAAUGCCACAUUCUGCUGCAAAGAGUUUUCCUCUCUCAACUUCCAACCCAUCGUGAGCUGUCGAUUGAGGGGAGGUAUGUGCCUACGAAGACUGUUGAAGAAGAACUAUAGUAAAUAUGCCUUCCUGCUUUCAACAGUAAUCAGUCGAGUUAGAGACUUCAAAAAUGUACCGGAGAUGGGUCACCGAAGUUUGGCUGUGCAGGGAGAUGAGUCGCUAUGGCUGCUUGGGGAGCUAGCGGAAGGAAUGGUUUGCACUAAAUUCUGGGGCAAUUAAGGUAGACACCCACCAAAGUUUGCACAAAACUGUUGUUUUACCUGUAAAUGACAUUAUAGCAAUACUCAAGUCAAUCAUCAGAUCAAAAAAUUAGCGGAGAAGCUUCAAAAAUCCUUACUAUGAGCUUAUCCCCAUACGAGUUAAUGAUGAAAAUUGUCUAGAGUCUUACCUCCUGUAAAUUAGCUAGACUUUGGUCAUGUAUCUUUGUUGACCCUAGGAGAUACAUAGAAGCACCACCGAUCCCAUUUGCUUGAGCUCGAGAUAUCGCUAGUAGGUUCUGAACUCUCCGAGAAAGUUCCGCUCCAGAUCCUUUCAGCUGCACAAGUCCAUAAUUGUCGAAGCUGUCCACGUUUCUUAGGCACAAAUAAUUAAAGGCAGAAUCAAAAUGGACAAGGAUGGGUUGCAACGGUCAGAGAUGGUGUAGACUUCUAUGCUCGUUGGGGGAGAAGGCGCAGGUGGGAGGAUAUCAUGCCCUAAUUUCAAGGGUUCAGAGGUUUUUUUUUUGUUUUUUAGGUUAUUAUUUUAUGGAGACAAUUUUACCCUUUUAUGUUGACAUGUGAGUGGCAUGUGCCCUUUUUUGGCGGGAAUUUUGAUCGGAAAUUGGUUGAGGGACCA